rnacentral:rRNA from 1 species
AUACGUAGGAUGCGAGCGUUAAUCGGAAUUACUGGGCGCAAAGGGUGCGUAGGCGGUUUUGUAAGUCAGAUGUGAAAUCCCCGGGCUUAACCUGGGAAUGGCGUUUGAAACUGCAAGGCUAGAGUGUAGCAGAGGGGAGUGGAAUUCCGCGUGUAGCAGUGAAAUGCGUAGAUAUGCGGAGGAACACCGAUGGCGAAGGCAGCUCCCUGGGCUAACACUGACGCUCAUGCACGAAAGCGUGGGGAGCAAACAGGAUUAGAUACCCUGGUAGUCCACGCCCUAAACGAUGUCAACUAGUUGUCGGGCCUAAUUGAGGGUUUGGUAACGUAGCUAACGCGUGAAGUUGACCGCCUGGGGAGUACGAUCGCAAGAUUAAA